CACGUAGGGCGCAAGCGUUGUCCGGAAUUAUUGGGCGUAAAGAGCUCGUAGGCGGUCUGUUACGUCUGCUGUGAAAACCCGGGGCUUAACCCUGGGCUUGCAGUGGAUACGGGCAGACUAGAGGCAGGUAGGGGAGAAUGGAAUUCCCGGUGUAGCGGUGAAAUGCGCAGAUAUCGGGAGGAACACCAGUGGCGAAGGCGGCGACCUGGACGGACACUGACGCUGAGACGCGAAAGCGUGGGGAGCAAACAGG
rnacentral:rRNA from 1 species